rnacentral:rRNA from 1 species
UAAGUCGUAACAAGGUCUCCGUUGGUGAACCAGCGGAGGGAUCAUU